CCUACGGGUGACAGCAGUGAGGAAUAUUGGUCAAUGGGCGCGAGCCUGAACCAGCCAAGUAGCGUGAAGGAUGACUGCCCUACGGGUUGUAAACUUCUUUUAUAAAGGAAUAAAGUGAGGCACGUGUGCCGUUUUGUAUGUACGUUAUGAAUAAGGAUCGGCUAACUCCGUGCCAGCAGCCGCGGUAAUACGGAGGAUCCGAGCGUUAUCCGGAUUUAUUGGGUUGAAAGGGAGCGUAGAGGGGUUGUUAAGUCAGUUGUGAAAGUUUGCGGCUCACCCGGAAAAUUGCAUUUGAUACUGGCAGCCUUGAGUCCAGUUGAGGUAGGCGGCAUUCGUGUUGUAGCGG
rnacentral:rRNA from 1 species